rnacentral:rRNA from 1 species
UAGGGAAUCUUCGGCAAUGGGGGGAACCCUGACCGAGCAACGCCGCGUGAGUGAAGAAGGUUUUCGGAUCGUAAAGCUCUGUUGUUAAGGAAGAACGAGUGUGAGAAUGGAAAGUUCAUACUGUGACGGUACUUAACCAGAAAGGGACGGCUAACUACGUGCCCGCAGCCGCGGUAAUACGUAGGUCCCGAGCGUUGUCCGGAUUUAUUGGGCGUAAAGCGAGCGCAGGCGGUUAGAAAAGUCUGAAGUGAAAGGCAGUGGCUCAACCAUUGUAGGCUUUGGAAACUGGUUAACUUGAGUGCAGAAGGGGAGAGUGGAAUUCCAUGUGGAGCGGUGAAAUGCGUAGAUAUAUGGAGGAACACCGGUGGCGAAAGCGGCUCUCUGGGCUGUAACUGACGCUGAGGCUCGAAAGCGUGGGUAGCAAACAGG